rnacentral:rRNA from 1 species
UAUCUUGGCCAUGCUACCCUGAACAAGCCUAUCCUGUCUGAUCUCAGAAGCUAAGCAGGGUCGGGCCUGGUUAGUACUUGGAUGGGAGACCACCUAGGAAGACUAGGUGCUAUAGGCG